CAAAACAUCAAUUGACGGGUUUUCUAUAGUAAUUUCGUCGAUUACUUCCUACAGUACUUACUUAUGUAUCCACUAGUAUAAUACGAAUGAUACUAUUGAUACUAUUCAUAGCAUACACCAUUAAUGAUUUUGAUUUAAGGGUAUGUACUUAUUUCAGUAUCCCAAAGUAAAUGAACGGUUCGUCGAUUGUAUCAACUGCGCCUUACCAUGGGAUACUUAAGUAAGUUCACAUAUUCUUUUGUUUCUCUUUGUUCGAUUCCGUUAUUUUCUGGAAUGUGUGUGAUGCAAAAAAAGCUUGGUGGUUGACAAAUUUCAUUUACUCUUUGAUCAACAAUCCAAGUGUUUAGUCAUAAAUUGUGUGUGCUCCCACCAGUGAAGUAAUAAAAUAUAAAUUGGUUUGUAAAAAGCAAACAUACGAAGAAAUUCCGGUAAUACAGAAGUUUCCAAUAAAAUCUGAAGAACAAUUAAUUGAAAUUGACAAGGAAAUAAAUGCUGAAAAUAGAAAUCAAUAUAUAAAAGCAAUGAAAUCAAUGCUAGAACCAGCCGGGGUUCACAAAAACUUAAAAUGCAUCCUAAACGACAAUGUUACCAUGGCCUACAAUGUCGACGGUGUUCAAGGGAAGAAAAGUUUUAAACAACUUAAAAACUUUAUGGUGUUCUGUUAGAAGCGGUCUCAAUGGCCAAAACAAAUAAUAUUGGUCCAGCGGAUGACCAAAUUCGGAAGGCAAUUCAAUUGCAGAAAAGGAGAAUUUUUAAAAAUAUGUCGGUGCAAAGACAUGCUGAUCAAAAAUAAGCCAGACAAAUAAAUUUCAGACGUUUAUUUUCAUUA